AGGACGAACGCUGGCGGCGUGCCUAAUACAUGCAAGUCGAGCGAAUGAUUAGAGAAGCUUGCUUCUCUCUGAUUAGCGGCGGACGGGUGAGUAACACGUGGGUAACCUACCCUAUAGACUGGGAUAACUUCGGGAAACCGGAGCUAAUACCGGAUAAUACUUCGAAACACAUGUUUUGAAGUUGAAAGAUGGUUUCGGCUAUCACUAUAGGAUGGACCUGCGGCGCAUUAGCUAGUUGGUGAGGUAACGGCUCACCAAGGCAACGAUGCGUAGCCGACCUGAGAGGGUGAUCGGCCACACUGGGACUGAGACACGGCCCAGACUCCUACGGGAGGCAGCAGUAGGGAAUCCUCCACAAUGGACGAAAGUCUGAUGGAGCAACGCCGCGUGAGUGAAGAAGGAUUUCGGUUCGUAAAACUCUGUUGCAAGGGAAGAACAAGUAGCGUAGUAACUGGCGCUACCUUGACGGUACCUUGUUAGAAAGCCACGGCUAACUACGUGCCAGCCGCUGC
rnacentral:rRNA from 1 species